GUCGAACGCUGGCGGCGUGCUUAACACAUGCAAGUCGAACGGAGCGGCUAACGGGCGAGUAACAAGUGGGUGAUCUGCCUUGCGCUCUGGGAUAAGCACGGCUAGCUGGGUCUACUACCGGCUCGUGCAAGACGAGCUGGCGGCCUAUCAGCUUGUUGGUGGGGUAAUGGCCUACCAAGCCGUCGACAGGUAGCCGGCCUGAGUGGGUGUACGGCCACACUGGGACUGACGGACGGCCCAGACUCCUACGGUAGGCAGCAGGGGGGAAGAUUGCACAAUGGGUGGAAGCCUGAUGCAGCGACGCCGCGUGUGGGAUGACAGCCUUCGGGUUGUAAACUCCGUUCGAGUGGGACGCGGUACCUGUAUAAGAAGCACCGGCUAACUACGUGCCAGCAGCCGCGGUAAUUC
rnacentral:rRNA from 1 species